CAGACGAUGUUUGCGACUUGGUAUGUUUGCACAGACGACUGGAGCGAAACAAAGCACUCAGAACGAUAAAGAAUGCGUUAAGCGAGGGUCCACAGGCUCAAUUGUGGAAGGAAUUUCGACGCAAACAUAGCUUACAAAAAACUCUAUUUAGCAAGGACAAACAUCUUUUCAGCUUACCUACUCCAGCUGAAAAAGUGGUUCAUAAAGUUUUGAUCAAAGAAACAAAGUCGAAAGAGCAAUCACGACAAACUGUGGCUAUCAUUGGACAAAAUGUUAUACGAAAUUGCGACAUUUGGAAACUAAAUGAAAGAACGUGGUUCAAUGACGUG